AACUUCAGAGUAUCGAUAUGCCAGUUUAGUGCUCAGACGGAACCAUGAAACCCAAACUACUCACCUGGUCUUCUGCCGGACCUUCCUGGACUGUUUCUGGACGGGACUCUCUGGGGGGGGCGACGGGCAGUGCGGCGUUUCUCUGUAAUGCAAAAGUGUUUGAUCAGAACCGCAUCCUGCAAGACUCGGUUUGCAUCCCAAAUUCUGGUUCUGGAUUUCAAAGUGGAUCUAAAUGAAAUCUGAUCCAAACUAUAUCUGAUUACUGAUCGAGUGAUCACAGAGGAUCAAACAUGACGAGGAAAGAAGGAAACAAACUCCAGCCUGAACCGGCUCUUCAAAGAAGAGGAGGCCCAACACAGAACCCAGAGGAACUCCGGCGGCUCUCAGGUGGAUCAAAGCACGUCUGGUUCUUACACACACUCCUCUCUCGGUUCUGCCAGGUGGGGUCCAAACUCCUCCUCCGAGUCGCUCAAACAGACGACCUCGGCUGGCUCCUUACAGGAAAACUCCGCCCACAGACAGUCGUCAGCAUCGUCUGCAGGGAGACAGAACGUCAGGAGGAACAGAGUCUGCUGCUGGAAGCUCCGCCUCCUCUAAUCUUACCUGCGUUUUCAUUCUCGUUGAACAGAGAGGUCGUUGGCUUUAGCUGCAAGCCGCUGCUCACCUGAGCGACAACAAACAUGGCCGCUGUGGUCAGGAAGGCGAAUCACAGCGUCUGGGACGCGGCGGGUCGCCCGCUUACCUUGUUGGAGUAGAUGGGGACCGGCGUGAUGGCAGACGGGUCGAGGAUCCGCCGCCGUUUGGGGGGCGGCUUCAUCUGCUGAACGUCGCUGUCAAAAACCUGAGAGGGAGGCGGAGCCAAGGGGACGGCCAAACGAGU